GGUAAUACGGAGGGUGCAAGCGUUAUCCGGAAUCAUUGGGUUUAAAGGGUCCGCAGGCGGUCAAUUAAGUCAGAGGUGAAAUCCCAUAGCUUAACUAUGGAACUGCCUUUGAUACUGGUUGACUUGAGUUAUAYGGAAGUAGAUAGAAUGUGUAGUGUAGCGGUGAAAUGCAUAGAUAUUACACAGAAUACCGAUUGCGAAGGCAGUCUACUACGUAUAUACUGACGCUCAUGGACGAAAGCGUGGGGAGCGAACAGGAUUAGAUACCCUGGUAGUCCACGCCGUAAACGAUGGACACUAGUUGUUGGGAUUUAUCUCAGUGACUAAGCGAAAGUGAUAAGUGUCCCACCUGGGGAGUACGAUCGCAAGAUUGAAACUCAAA
rnacentral:rRNA from 1 species